UCAACACAAACAUUGUCAACUUGAAAGUGGGAGAGGUAGGAAGGGCUGGAAGAGCCUUGGCUGCCCAGAUUGCUCUGACCUAGCAUUUCCUGUAUUCAUCCUUCCUAUUGCAUUCAACAAUGCACUCAACAGGGUGGAGGCACACUGAACAUUCCCAGAAGAACUUAGGGCACAGAAUUUGGGUAAUUGGCUUUGAACUCCCUAAUUCUCACAUUUCUUUGCCUCUGAGAGCUCACUGCUGUUGUGUAGCAGAAACCAGUCAAACUGUCUAGGAGAGGCUCAGCCCACCUGAGGUGUCUGAACGAGAGAGACAUUCUUGGGCUCUUAAGGUGCCUGUAAGUUGUACAGCACACUCCAGGUUUCAGCUUCUGUGAGCAGACACCCAUGCUGGGGCAGACUUUGAAUAUUCAUUUCAGCUUAUUUGAGAAAAGCAUAAUAUCUAAGUAUUGGAAAGGAACUUUGAGCAUCCCUAAAUGUAGACAGUCUUGUCAGAAAACAUUCAGGUGCAUAGGUGGAGUGUCUGUUGCCUGACUAGGGACAUCGCUGUCUACUCAGAAUUCAGGCAAACUCUCCAGCAAUUUUAGCGUAAACUCUUCAGAGGAGGAAAUGUUACAGUAAUAGCAAAAGCCUAUUAAAGAAAACUUCCCUCAUGGACAAGAAAAUGGAAUGUCUGGCCUAGGUGGAGACCUAAUAUUUCAGCUGGAUUGGUCAAUUCCCUGGCUAAGGAACUAGCCCUUCAGAAAGGCGAGACCACCACUCACUUUGGGAUAUCCACUUCCAGGGAUGCUAAAA